GAAGUAUUCCAGUUAAGAUAAUCUCAUGAAAAUAGUAGUAUCUGAACUGGAUAGGACGAUCCGAAGCAUUCUGACGUGCAAAUCGAUCGCCUAACUUUGGUAUAGGGACGAAAGACUGAUCGAACAAUCCAGUAGUUGGUUCCUUCCGAAGUUUCCCUCAGGAUAACUGGAGUACGUAAUGAAGCUGUUAUACAUGGUUAAAAUGAAUUGAUUAGAAGAAUUGUGGGACGAAACGUCUUCAAUCUGUUUCUCAAAUUUUCAGUGAAUCUGACGUCUCGUUUAUUUGAAUGAAGCAUGAACAUUGAAGUAAACUCCAAGUGGGCAAUUUUUGGUAAGCAGAAUUGACCCUUUGAGAUUAAUUAAACGUUGAGUUAAAGUUGAGUUAACUUAUCUUCGAAAGGAAGAAAUAUC
rnacentral:ncRNA from 1 species